rnacentral:rRNA from 1 species
CUUUACUGUAGCUUGGAAUUGAUUUCGGGUUUAUUUUGCGCAGUAUAGGUGGGAGGCUGAGAAUUUAUGUUUGCGGAUAUAAAUGAGCCAAAAGUGAGAUACCACUCUGAUUAAACUAGAAUUCUAAUCUUGAUGCCGUUAUCCGGCCAAGAGACAUUUUCAGGUAGGCAGUUUGACUGGGGCGGUCGCCUCCUAAAAGGUAACGGAGGCGUGCAAAGGUUUCCUCAGACUGGUCGGAAAUCAGUCGUAGAGUAUAAAGGUAUAAGGAAGCUUGACUGUGAGACUUACAAGUCGAACAGAGACGAAAGUCGGCCUUAGUGAUCCGACAGUUCUGAGUGGAAAGGCUGUCGCUCAACGGAUAAAAGUUA